UGGGGAGUGGAGGAAGCGGGGACAGCCAGGCCAGCUGGGCCACCCUUCACACGGUCAGCCGGCGCUUAGGAGCUGCGAGGUCUGGGGGGGGCACGUGGAGCUGCAGCCCGGUAAUGGGGCCAGGGCUGAGAGUGAUCUGAAGAUGACACAGCUAGAAAAGCAUCACUUUAAGCUGAGACACAAAAACGUGUGGACCUCGGUAUCCUGCACUUUGUAUCUGAGCCAUGACUCACUGGCCAGGGAAGAUCUACUGAGACCAGUAUCAAUAAUGGAACGCAAUUGA
rnacentral:lncRNA from 13 species